rnacentral:rRNA from 1 species
UGGGGAAUUUUGGACAAUGGGCGAAAGCCUGAUCCAGCAAUGCCGCGUGUGUGAAGAAGGCCUUCGGGUUGUAAAGCUCUUUUGUCCGGAAAGAAAUCCUUGGCUCUAAUACAGUCGGGGGAUGACGGUACCGGAAGAAUAAGCACCGGCUAACUACGUGCCAGCAGCCGCGGUAAUACGUAGGGUGCAAGCGUUAAUCGGAAUUACUGGGCGUAAANGCGUGCGCAGGCGGUUUGCUAAGACCGAUGUGAAAUCCCCGGGCUCAACCUGGGAACUGCAUUGGUGACUGGCAGGCUAGAGUAUGGCAGAGGGGGGUAGAAUUCCACGUGUAGCAGUGAAAUGCGUAGAGAUGUGGAGGAAUACCGAUGGCGAAGGCAGCCCCCUGGGCCAAUACUGACGCUCAUGCACGAAAGCGUGGGGAGCAAACAGGAUUAGAUACCCUGGUAGUCCACGCCCUAAACGAUGUCAACUAGUUGUUGGGGAUUCAUUUCCUUAGUAACGUAGCUAACGCGUGAAGUUGACCGCCUGGGGAGUACGGUCGCAAGAUUAAAACUUAAAGGAA